UCCUCAUUAUAUUAUUUGAGGUAGGACCUGCUCAAUGCGAAAAGUAAAUAGCCGCAGUAUUCUGACUGUGCUAAGGUAGCAUAAUAAAUUGGCUUUUAAUUGGAGUCUGGGAUGAAUGGUUUGACAAGGAUUUGACUGUCUUAAAAUAAAAAGUUUUGAAAUUUAAUUAUCUGUAAAAAUGCGGAUAUAAUAGAGAGGGACGAGAAGACCCUAUAGAUCUUUAAUAAACUGAAAAGAAAUUUGAAGUUUUUCAGUUUAUUUUAUUUGGGGAAAAUCUUGAAAUUAGAAAACUUCGGUUAAAAAUUAAUGUAAAAUCCUAAAUGGUUAAUUUUUGAUCCACAAUUUAAUGUGAAAAAAUGAAAAAGUUACCUUAGGGAUAACAGGACAAUGAUUUUCUUGGAGAUCUUAUCUAAGAAGACGUUUGUUACCUCGAUGUUGAAUUAAGUUAUCUAAUAAAAGAAGAAAUUUAUAUAGU
rnacentral:rRNA from 1 species